rnacentral:misc_RNA from 1 species
UCUCCGUUGGUGAACCAGCGGAGGGAUCAUUACCGAGUUUACAACUCCCAAACCCAAUGUGAACCAUACCAAACUGUUGCCUCGGCGCGGUCACGCCCCGGGUGCGUCGCAGCCCCGGAACCAGGCGCCCGCCGGAGGGACCAACCAAACUCUUUCUGUAGUCCCCUCGCGGACGUUAUUUUUACAGCUCUGAGCAAAAAUUCAAAAUGAAUCAAAACUUUCAACAACGGAUCUCUUGGUUCUG